rnacentral:rRNA from 1 species
GAGUUUGAUCGUGGCUCAGAUUGAACGCUGGCGGCAUGCCUUACACAUGCAAGUCGAACGGCAGCACGGGAGCUUGCUCCUGGUGGCGAGUGGCGAACGGGUGAGUAAUGCAUCGGAACGUAUCCUGGAGUGGGGGAUAACGUAGCGAAAGUUACGCUAAUACCGCAUAUUCUGUGAGCAGGAAAGCGGGGGACCUUCGGGCCUCGCGCUCUUGGAGCGGCCGAUGUCGGAUUAGCUAGUUGGUGAGGUAAAGGCUCACCAAGGCGACGAUCCGUAGCAGGUCUGAGAGGAUGAUCUGCCACACUGGAACUGAGACACGGUCCAGACUCCUACGGGAGGCAGCAGUGGGAAUUUUGGACAGUGGGGGCAACCCUGAUCCAGCCAUGCCGCGUGAGUGAAGAAGGCCUCGGUUGUAAGUACGUCGUUCGUCGACGGAAGGAAAGUUAGUACGACCGGA